rnacentral:misc_RNA from 1 species
UAGCACUUGCCCUCUGCUGCGC